rnacentral:rRNA from 1 species
GACGAACGCUGGCGGCGUGCUUAACACAUGCAAGUCGAACGGAAAGGCCCUGCUUUUGUGGGGUGCUCGAGUGGCGAACGGGUGAGUAACACGUGAGUAACCUGCCCUUGACUUUGGGAUAACUUCAGGAAACUGGGGCUAAUACCGGAUAGGAGCUCCUGCUGCAUGGUGGGGGUUGGAAAGUUUCGGCGGUUGGGGAUGGACUCGCGGCUGAUCAGCUUGUUGGUGGGGUAGUGGCUUACCAAGGCGUUGACGGGUAGCCGGCCUGAGAGGGUGACCGGCCAAAUUGGUACGGGAGGAAGCCGUGGGGACCUGUGGGGGAUGGCAGUGGGCAUGAUGGAGCAAUGGGGGGAGGCCGAAGACGGCAGCGCGGCGGGCGGGAUGAGGGCUUUGGGGUGGAAAACCGCUUUCGCCUGUGAGGAGGGGGGGGUGGCGGUGAAGGAAAAAGAACCGCCGGAAAACGUC